UACAGAGGGGGCGAGCGUUGUUCGGAAUUACUGGGCGUAAAGGGUUCGUAGGUGGCUUGCUAAGUCAGACGUGAAAUCCCUCAGCUUAACUGGGGAACUGCGUCUGAGACUGGCAAGCUUGAGUGCAGGAGAGGAAUGCGGAAUUCCAGGUGUAGCGGUGAAAUGCGUAGAUAUCUGGAGGAACACCGGUGGCGAAGGCGGCGUUCUGGACUGCAACUGACACUGAGGAACGAAAGCCAGGGGAGCAAACGGG
rnacentral:rRNA from 1 species